CGGAUCGUAAAGCUCUGUUGUUAGGGAAGAACAAGUGCGAGAGUAACUGCUCGCACCAUGACGGUACCUAACCAGAAAGCCACGGCUAACUACGUGCCAGCAGCCGCGGUAAUACGUAGGUGGCAAGCGUUGUCCGGAAUUAUUGGGCGUAAAGGGCUCGCAGGCGGUUUCUUAAGUCUGAUGUGAAAGCCCCCGGCUCAACCGGGGAGGGUCAUUGGAAACUGGGAAACUUGAGUGCAGAAGAGGAGAGUGGAAUUCCACGUGUAGCGGUGAAAUGCGUAGAGAUGUGGAGGAACACCAGUGGCGAAGGCGACUCUCUGGUCUGUAACUGACGCUGAGGAGCGAAAGCGUGGGGAGCGAACAGGAUUAGAUACCCUGGUAGUCCACGCCGUAAACGAUGAGUGCUAAGUGUUAGGGGGUUUCCGCCCCUUAGUGCUGCAGCUAACGCAUUAAGCACUCCGCCUGGGGAGUACGGUCGCAAGACUGAAACUCAAAGGAAUUGACGGGGGCCCGCACAAGCGGUGGAGCAUGUGGUUUAAUUCG
rnacentral:rRNA from 1 species